UGAUUAUUUGAGGUUCUAACCUUGAUCCGUGAAUCCGGAUCGGGGACCGUGCAUGGUGGGCAGUUUGACUGGGGCGGUCUCCUCCCAAAAGGUAACGGAGGAGUACGAAGGUACGCUUAGGGCGGUCGGACAUCGCCCAUAAAGUGCAAUGGCAAAAGCGUGCUUGACUGCGAGACCCACAAGUCGAGCAGGUGCGAAAGCAGGUCAUAGUGAUCCGGUGGUUCUGUAUGGAAGGGCCAUCGCUCAACGGAUAAAAGGUACUCUGGGGGAUAACAGGCUGAUACCGCCCAAGAGUUCAUAUCGACGGCGGUGUUUGGCACCUCGAUGUCGGCUCAUCUCAUCCUGGGGCUGUAGCCGGUCCCAAGGGUAUGGCUGUUCGCCAUUUAAAGAGGUACGUGAGCUGGGUUUAAAACGUCGUGAGACAGUUUGGUCCCUAUCUGCCGUGGGCGCUGGAUAUUUGAAGGGGGCUGCUCCUAGUACGAGAGGUCCGGGC
rnacentral:rRNA from 1 species